GAUGAACGCUAGCGGCAGGCUUAAUACAUGCAAGUCGAGGGGGCAGCAAUGUCACCGGCGAACGGGUGCGUAACACGUAUGCAACCUACCUAUAUCAGGGGGAUAGCCCGAGGAAACUCGGAUUAAUACCGCAUAACAUUAGGAUCGGCAUCGAUUUUAAUUGAAAGAUUUAUUGGAUAUAGAUGGGCAUGCGUAGGAUUAGCUAGUUGGUAAGGUAACGGCUUACCAAGGCUACGAUCCUUAGGGGCUCUGAGAGGAGUAUCCCCCACACUGGCACUGGGAUACGGGCCAGACUCCUACGGGAGGCAGCAGUAAGGAAUAUUGGGCAAUGGGCGAAAGCCUGACCCAGCCAUGCCGCGUGCAGGAAGACGGCCCUCUGGGUUGUAAACUGCUUUUGAAUGGGAAGGAAGGUAUGCUUGCGAGCGUAAUUGACGGUACCAUUAGAAUAAGCCACGGCUAACUACGUGCCAGCCGCCGCAGUAA
rnacentral:rRNA from 1 species